GGGUUGUGAGGUUAAGCGACUAAGCGUACACGGUGGAUGCCCUGGCAGUCAGAGGCGAUGAAGGACGUGCUAAUCUGCGAUAAGCGUCGGUAAGGUGAUAUGAACCGUUAUAACCGGCGAUUUCCGAAUGGGGAAACCCAGUGUGAUUCGUCACACUAUCAUUAACUGAAUCCAUAGGUUAAUGAGGCGAACCGGGGGAACUGAAACAUCUAAGUACCCCGAGGAAAAGAAAUCAACCGAGAUUCCCCCAGUAGCGGCGAGCGAACGGGGAGCAGCCCAGAGCCUGAAUCAGUGUGUGUGUUAGUGGAAGCGUCUGGAAAGGCGCGCGAUACAGGGUGACAGCCCCGUACACAAAAAUGCACAUGCUGUGAGCUCGAUGAGUAGGGCGGGACACGUGGUAUCCUGUCUGAAUAUGGGGGGACCAUCCUCCAAGGCUAAAUACUCCUGACUGACCGAUAGUGAACCAGUACCGUGAGGGAAAGGCGAAAAGAACCCCGGCGAGGGGAGUGAAAAAGAACCUGAAACCGUGUACGUACAAGCAGUGGGAGCACAGAGCAAUCUGUGUGACUGCGUACCUUUUGUAUAAUGGGUCAGCGACUUAUAUUCUGUAGCAAGGUUAACCGAAUAGGGGAGCCGAAGGGAAACCGAGUCUUAACUGGGCGUUAAGUUGCAGGGUAUAGACCCGAAACCCGGUGAUCUAGCCAUGGGCAGGUUGAAGGUUGGGUAACACUAACUGGAGGACCGAACCGACUAAUGUUGAAAAAUUAGCGGAUGACUUGUGGCUGGGGGUGAAAGGCCAAUCAAACCGGGAGAUAGCUGGUUCUCCCCGAAAGCUAUUUAGGUAGCGCCUCGUGAAUUCAUCUCCGGGGGUAGAGCACUGUUUCGGCAAGGGGGUCAUCCCGACUUACCAACCCGAUGCAAACUGCGAAUACCGGAGAAUGUUAUCACGGGAGACACACGGCGGGUGCUAACGUCCGUCGUGAAGAGGGAAACAACCCAGACCGCCAGCUAAGGUCCCAAAGUCAUGGUUAAGUGGGAAACGAUGUGGGAAGGCCCAGACAGCCAGGAUGUUGGCUUAGAAGCAGCCAUCAUUUAAAGAAAGCGUAAUAGCUCACUGGUCGAGUCGGCCUGCGCGGAAGAUGUAACGGGGCUAAACCAUGCACCGAAGCUGCGGCAGCGACGCUUAUGCGUUGUUGGGUAGGGGAGCGUUCUGUAAGCCUGCGAAGGUGUGCUGUGAGGCAUGCUGGAGGUAUCAGAAGUGCGAAUGCUGACAUAAGUAACGAUAAAGCGGGUGAAAAGCCCGCUCGCCGGAAGACCAAGGGUUCCUGUCCAACGUUAAUCGGGGCAGGGUGAGUCGACCCCUAAGGCGAGGCCGAAAGGCGUAGUCGAUGGGAAACAGGUUAAUAUUCCUGUACUUGGUGUUACUGCGAAGGGGGGACGGAGAAGGCUAUGUUGGCCGGGCGACGGUUGUCCCGGUUUAAGCGUGUAGGCUGGUUUUCCAGGCAAAUCCGGAAAAUCAAGGCUGAGGCGUGAUGACGAGGCACUACGGUGCUGAAGCAACAAAUGCCCUGCUUCCAGGAAAAGCCUCUAAGCAUCAGGUAACAUCAAAUCGUACCCCAAACCGACACAGGUGGUCAGGUAGAGAAUACCAAGGCGCUUGAGAGAACUCGGGUGAAGGAACUAGGCAAAAUGGUGCCGUAACUUCGGGAGAAGGCACGCUGAUAUGUAGGUGAAGCGACUUGCUCGUGGAGCUGAAAUCAGUCGAAGAUACCAGCUGGCUGCAACUGUUUAUUAAAAACACAGCACUGUGCAAACACGAAAGUGGACGUAUACGGUGUGACGCCUGCCCGGUGCCGGAAGGUUAAUUGAUGGGGUCAGCGCAAGCGAAGCUCUUGAUCGAAGCCCCGGUAAACGGCGGCCGUAACUAUAACGGUCCUAAGGUAGCGAAAUUCCUUGUCGGGUAAGUUCCGACCUGCACGAAUGGCGUAAUGAUGGCCAGGCUGUCUCCACCCGAGACUCAGUGAAAUUGAACUCGCUGUGAAGAUGCAGUGUACCCGCGGCAAGACGGAAAGACCCCGUGAACCUUUACUAUAGCUUGACACUGAACAUUGAGCCUUGAUGUGUAGGAUAGGUGGGAGGCUUGGAAGUGUGGACGCCAGUCUGCAUGGAGCCGACCUUGAAAUACCACCCUUUAAUGUUUGAUGUUCUAACGUUGACCCGUAAUCCGGGUUGCGGACAGUGUCUGGUGGGUAGUUUGACUGGGGCGGUCUCCUCCUAAAGAGUAACGGAGGAGCACGAAGGUUGGCUAAUCCUGGUCGGACAUCAGGAGGUUAGUGCAAUGGCAUAAGCCAGCUUGACUGCGAGCGUGACGGCGCGAGCAGGUGCGAAAGCAGGUCAUAGUGAUCCGGUGGUUCUGAAUGGAAGGGCCAUCGCUCAACGGAUAAAAGGUACUCCGGGGAUAACAGGCUGAUACCGCCCAAGAGUUCAUAUCGACGGCGGUGUUUGGCACCUCGAUGUCGGCUCAUCACAUCCUGGGGCUGAAGUAGGUCCCAAGGGUAUGGCUGUUCGCCAUUUAAAGUGGUACGCGAGCUGGGUUUAGAACGUCGUGAGACAGUUCGGUCCCUAUCUGCCGUGGGCGCUGGAGAAUUGAGGGGGGCUGCUCCUAGUACGAGAGGACCGGAGUGGACGCAUCACUGGUGUUCGGGUUGUCAUGCCAAUGGCACUGCCCGGUAGCUAAAUGCGGAAGAGAUAAGUGCUGAAAGCAUCUAAGCACGAAACUUGCCCCGAGAUGAGUUCUCCCUGACUCCUUGAGAGUCCUGAAGGAACGUUGAAGACGACGACGUUGAUAGGCCGGGUGUGUAAGCGCAGCGAUGCGUUGAGCUAACCGGUACUAAUGAACCGUGAGGCUUAACCUUACAACGCCGAAG
rnacentral:rRNA from 1 species